CCCUUAGAUGUUCUGGGCCGCACGCGCGCUACACUGACGAAUGCAACGAGCUUAUAACCUUGGCCGAAAGGUCUGGGUAAUCUCCAAAUUUCGUCGUGAUGGGGAUAGAUUAUUGCAAUUAUUAAUCUUCAACGAGGAAUGCCUAGUAAGCGCAAGUCAUCAGCUUGCGUUGAUUACGUCCCUGCCCUUUGUACACACCGCCCGUCGCUCCUACCGAUUGAAUGGUCCGGUGAAGCGUUCGGACCGCGCGCGGCCUCGUGCCGUGUCGCGGAAAGUCAGGUAAACCUUAUCACUUAGAGGAAGGAGAAGUCGUAACA
rnacentral:rRNA from 1 species